rnacentral:rRNA from 1 species
AACGAGCGCUGGCGGCAUGCCUAACACAUGCAAGUCGAACGAGACCUUCGGGUCUAGUGGCGCACGGGUGCGUAACGCGUGGGAACCUGCCCUUAGGUUCGGAAUAACUCCCCGAAAGGGGUACUAAUACCGGAUAAUGUCUUCGGACCAAAGAUUUAUCGCCUUUGGAUGGGCCCGCGUUGGAUUAGCUAGUUGGUAGGGUAAAAGCCUACCAAGGCGACGAUCCAUAGCUGGUCUGAGAGGAUGAUCAGCCACACUGGGACUGAGACACGGCCCAGACUCCUACGGGAGGCAGCAGUGGGGAAUAUUGGACAAUGGGCGAAAGCCUGAUCCAGCAAUGCCGCGUGAGUGAUGAAGGCCUUAGGGUUGUAAAGCUCUUUUACCCGGGAUGAUAAUGACAGUACCGGGAGAAUAAGCUCCGGCUAACUCCGUG